GAUGAACGCUGGCGGCGUGCCUAAUACAUGCAAGUCGAGCGCAGCGGGGACGGGUGCGUAACACGUGGAUAACCUCCUAUACGACUGGGAUAACUUCGGGAAACCGGUGCUAAACCGGCUACUUAUAGAUGGAUCCGCGCUGCAUUAGCUAGUUGGUAAGGUAAAGGCUGACCAAGGCAACGAUGCAUAGCCGACCUGAGAGGGUGAUCGGCCACACUGGGACUGAGACACGGCCCAGACUCCUACGGGAGGCAGCAGUAGGGAAUCUUGCGCAAUGGGCGAAAGCCUGACGGAGCAACGCCGCGUGAGUGAUGAAGGUCUUCGGAUCGUAAAACUCUGUUAUUAGGGAAGCGGUACCCAAUCAGAAAGCCACGGCUAACUACGUGCCAGCAGCCGCGGUAAUUC
rnacentral:rRNA from 1 species